rnacentral:rRNA from 1 species
UACAGAGGGGGCAAGCGUUGUUCGGAAUUACUGGGCGUAAAGGGCGCGUAGGCGGCCUGUUAAGUCGAACGUGAAAUCCCCGGGCUCAACCCGGGAACUGCGUCCGAUACUGGCAGGCUUGAAUCCGGGAGAGGGAUGUGGAAUUCCAGGUGUAGCGGUGAAAUGCGCAGAUAUCAGGAGGAACACCAAUGGCGAAGGCGGCUCACUGGGUCUCUUCUGACGCUGAGGAACGAAAGCUAGGGGAGCAAACGGG